rnacentral:SRP_RNA from 1 species
CGUAUGGGUCUUACGCAACGGAAAUCCUUGAACCGUGUCAGGGCAGGAAUGCAGCAGCACUAAGGGGAACCUUUCGUGUGCCGUAAGGAAGCCUGGACUGAGU